rnacentral:tRNA from 1 species
GGAGGGACUGUGGCUCAGUGGUAGAGUCUCUGCCUGGGAUAUGGAAGAUGCCAGGUUCAAUUCCUGAUAUCUCCA